GAUUGAACGCUGGCGGCAUGCUUUACACAUGCAAGUCGAACGGCAGCGCGGGCUUCGGCCUGGCGGCGAGUGGCGAACGGGUGAGUAAUGCAUCGGAACGUGCCCAGUAGUGGGGGAUAGCCCGGCGAAAGCCGGAUUAAUACCGCAUACGACCUGAGGGUGAAAGCGGGGGACCGAAAGGCCUCGCGCUAUUGGAGCGGCCGAUGUCGGAUUAGCUAGUUGGUGGGGUAAAGGCUUACCAAGGCGACGAUCCGUAGCUGGUCUGAGAGGACGACCAGCCACACUGGGACUGAGGCACGGCCCAGACUCCUACGGGAGGCAGCAGUGGGGAAUUUUGGACAAUGGGGGCAACCCUGAUCCAGCCAUGCCGCGUGCGGGAAGAAGGCCUUCGGGUUGUAAACCGCUUUUGUUCGGGAAGAAAUCCUCUGGGCUAAUACCCCGGGGGGAUGACGGUACCGGAAGAAUAAGCACCGGCUAACUACGUG
rnacentral:rRNA from 1 species